rnacentral:rRNA from 1 species
AUUGAACGCUGGCGGCAGGCUUAACACAUGCAAGUCGAGCGGAGUGAUGGUGCUUGCACUAUCACUUAGCGGCGGACGGGUGAGUAAUGCUUAGGAAUCUGCCUAUUAGUGGGGGACAACAUCUCGAAAGGGAUGCUAAUACCGCAUACGUCCUACGGGAGAAAGCAGGGGAUCACUUGUGACCUUGCGCUAAUAGAUGAGCCUAAGUCGGAUUAGCUAGUUGGUGGGGUAAAGGCCUACCAAGGCGACGAUCUGUAGCGGGUCUGAGAGGAUGAUCCGCCACACUGGGACUGAGACACGGCCCAGACUCCUACGGGGGGAAGCAGUGGGGAAUAUUGGACAAUGGGGGGAACCCUGAUCCAGCCAUGCCGCGUGUGUGAAGAAGGCCUUAUGGUUGUAAAGCACUUUAAGCGAGGAGGAGGCUCUUUUGGUUAAUACCCAAGAUGAGUGGACGUUACUCGCAGAAUAAGCACCGGCUAACUCUGUGCCAGCAGCCGCCGUAA